rnacentral:rRNA from 1 species
CAACCUGCCCUUCAGAGGGGGACAACAGUUGGAAACGACUGCUAAUACCGCAUACGAUCUAAUCUCGGCAUCGAGGAUAGAUGAAAGGUGGCCUCUACAUGUAAGCUAUCACUGAAGGAGGGGAUUGCGUCUGAUUAGCUAGUUGGUGAGGUAACGGCUCACCAAGGCAACGAUACAUAGGGGGACUGAGAGGUUAACCCCCCACAUUGGUACUGAGACACGGACCAA